AUUGAAAAAAUGACACUUGUUCACAAAUGUUCAUUGUAGCACAAUUCACAGUAGUCAACAUGUGGAAACAACCUACAUGCCUAUCAACAGAUGGGUAAACAAUGU